rnacentral:rRNA from 1 species
CCAAUAGCGUAUAUUAAAGUUGUUGCAGUUAAAAAGCUCGUAGUUGAACUUCGGGGUUUACUCAUUGGUCAGGCUUAAUUGUUUGUACUGGUGAGAUGAAUCUCUACCUUCUGAGGAACUUUCAUGCCAUUUAUUUAGUGUGAUUGGAAAUCAGGACUGUUACUUUGAAAAAAUUAGAGUGUUUAAAGCAGGCUAACGUCUGAAUACAUU